AGGAAGACAUGUACGAUUCUCGCGUGUUGCAGGCAGUCGUUUAUUGAGCAAAUUAAUGUUUGCCUCUAAGACAUGCAGCCUCCGCAAGAUUAAAACGCACGUACGUGACAUAUCGUUCCUGCCAAUCCGGCGCAUUGGCGAUCUAUGAUUUGCAAGUCACUUUGCGACGCGGCGUUUGCAAGUGUUACCCCUGCAUCCCAUUUUGUAUCGUCACGAGGAAAAGUGAGACGCACUCGGGAUCAAAUGACUUCUCCUUGUCGACGAUUUAAGGUACCUUCAUCUCGGCUGCUCUUCUAUGUUUCUCGCGAUUGGAGCGGUGCUUCGUCCUGAGAAGGAUAAAAACGCCGAGGAAUGUAGAAAGUCUCAUUAGCGAGAACGGACGGAUAGGGGCCGAAGGAGGGGGCUCGCAAUCAGCAGAGAGAUGAUAAUUACGACGAGAGGACCGCUUCAACGCUCCGAUGGCCGGCCGCGGAUCAAAG